rnacentral:rRNA from 1 species
UACGUAGGUGGCAAGCGUUGUCCGGAUUUAUUGGGUGUAAAGGGCUCGUAGGUGGCCAACUAAGUCAGACGUGAAAUCCCUCGGCUUAACCGGGGAACUGCAUCUGAUACUGGAUGGCUUGAGUUUGGGAGAGGGAUGCGGAAUUCCAGGUGUAGCGGUGAAAUGCGUAGAUAUCUGGAGGAACACCGGUGGCGAAGGCGGCAUCCUGGACCAACACUGACACUGAGGAGCGAAAGCCAGGGGAGCAAACGGG